rnacentral:rRNA from 1 species
ACAGGGAUUGCCCCAGUAACGGCGAGUGAAGCGGCAACAGCUCAAAUUUGAAAUCUGGCCCCUAGGGCCCGAGUUGUAAUUUGCAGAGGAUGCUUUUGGCGAGGUGCCUUCCGAGUUCCCUGGAACGGGACGCCAUAGAGGGUGAGAGCCCCGUCUGGUUGGAUGCCGAGCCUCUGUAAAGCUCCUUCGACGAGUCGAGUAGUUUGGGAAUGCUGCUCUAAAUGGGAGGUAUAUGUCUUCUAAAGCUAAAUACCGGCCAGAGACCGAUAGCGCACAAGUAGAGUGAUCGAAAGAUGAAAAGCACUUUGAAAAGAGGGUUAAAUAGUACGUGAAAUUGUUGAAAGGGAAGCGCUUAUGACCAGACUUGGACCCGGUGAAUCAUCCAGCGUUCUCGCUGGUGCACUUUGCCGGGCUCAGGCCAGCAUCAGUUUGCCUUGGGGGAUAAAGGCUUUGGGAAUGUGGCUCCCUCGGGAGUGUUAUAGCCCAUUGCACAAUACCCUGGGGCGGACUGAGGUUCGCGCAUCUGCAAGGAUGCUGGCGUAAUGGUCAUCAGCGACCCGUCUUGAAACACGGACCAAGGAGUCGUCUUCGUAUGCGAGUGUUCGGGUGUAAAACCCCUACGCGUAAUGAAAGUGAACGCAGGUGAGAGCUUCGGCGCAUCAUCGACCGAUCCUGAUGUUCUCGGAUGGAUUUGAGUAAGAGCAUACGGGGCCGGACCCGAAAGAAGGUGAACUAUGCCUGUAUAGGGUGAAGCCAGAGGAAACUCUGGUGGAGGCUCGCAGCGGUUCUGACGUGCAAAUCGAUCGUCAAAUAUGGGCAUGGGGGCGAAAGAC